UGACGAUGUGAAUUAAAAGUGUGUCCCA
rnacentral:sRNA from 1 species